rnacentral:rRNA from 1 species
AGUUUGAAUAUGGCUCAAAUUGAACGCUUGCCGCAGGCCUUACACAUGCAAGUUGAGCGGUAACACAAAAAAGCUUGCUUCUUGGGUGAAGAGCGGCAGACGGGUGAAUAACGCGUGGGAAUCUGCCUGGUAGUGGGGGACAACAGACGGAAACGACUGCUAAUACCGCAUACGCCCUUCGGGGGAAAGUGGGGGUCUUCAGACCUCACGCUAUCAGAUGAGCCCGCGUCGGAUUAGCUUGGUGGUGAAGUAAGAGCUCACCAAGGCGAUGAUCCGUAGCUGGUCUGAGAGGAUGAUCAGCCACACUGGGAAUGAGACACGGCCCAUACUCCUACAGGAGGCAGCAGUGGGGAAUAUUGGACAAUGGGGGCAACCCUGAUCCAGCCAUGCCGCGUGUGUGAAGAAAGCCUUCGGGUUGUAAAGCACUUUCAGCAGUGAGGAAAGGCGAGUGGUUAAUACCUGCUUGCUGUGACGUUAACUGCAGAAGAAGCACCGGCUAACUCCGUGUCAGCAGCCGCGGUAAUACGGAGGGUGCAAGCGUUAAUCGGAAUUACUGGGCGUAAUGCGCGCGUAUGUGGUUCAGUCAGUCAGAUGUGAAAGCCCCGGGCUCAACCUGGGAAUUGCACCUGAUACUGCUGAGCUAGAGUACGGUAGAUGGUAGUGGAAUUUCCGGUGUAACUGUGAAAUGCUUAGAGAUCGGAAGGAACACCAGUGGCGAAGGCGACUACCUGGACCGAUACUGACACUGAGGUGCGAAAGCGUGGGUAGCAAACAGGAUUAUAUACCCUGGUAGUCCACGCCAGUAACGAUGUCAACUAGCCGUUGGGGGUUGAUCCUUUAAUGGCGCAGCUAACCCGAUAAUUUGACCGCCUGGGGAGUACGGCCGCAAGGGUGAAAAUCAAAUGAAUUUAAGGGGGCCCGCACAAGCGGUGGAGCAUGUGGCUCAAUUCGAUGCAACGAGAAGAACGUGACUUACUCACGACAUCCAGAGAACUUUCCAGAGAUGGAGUGGUGCCUUGGGGAACUCCGAGUAGGAGAUGCAUGACUGUUGUCAGCUGUAAGUGUGAAGUGGUGGGUUAAGUCCCAGAACGAGAGCAACCCCUAUCCUCAUGUGCCAGCACAUCGGGUGGGAGAGCUAAUGAGACUCCAGCAGACAAACCGGAGGAAGGCGGGGAUGACAUCAAGUCAUCAUAUCCUUUACGAGUAGGGCUACACACGUGUUACAAUGGCCGGAGCAGAGGGCUGCAAACUUGCGAGGGUAAGAUAAUCUCAAAAAACCGGUAGUAGUCCGGAUUGGAGUCGUCAACUCGAAUCCAAGAAGUUGGAAUCGCUAGUAAUUAGUGAAUCAGAUGUCACGGCGAAGACGUUCCUGGGCGUUGUACACACC